AGCAGCCGCGGUAAUUCCAGCUCCAAUAGCGUAUAUUAAAGUUGUUGCAGUUAAAAAGCUCGUAGUUGAAUUUCGGGAUCAAUGCGUCGGUCGUGCUUUCGGGUACGUACUGGUGUCAUUGGUUUCUCCUUUCUGACGAGCCGUGAUGUCAUUAAUUUGGUGUUACGGGUAGUUAGGACUGUUACUUUGAAAAAAUUAGAGUGUUUAAAGCAGGCAUUAGCUUGAAUACAUUAGCAUGGAAUAAUGAAAUAGGACGUUCGAUCCUAUUUUGUUGGUUUCUAGGAUCAACGUAAUGAUUAAUAGGGAUAGUUGGGGGCAUUAGUAUUCAAUUGUCAGAGGUGAAAUUCUUGGAUUAUUGGAAGACUAACUACUGCGAAAGCAUUUGCCAAGGAUGUUUUCAUUAAUCAAGAACGAAAGUUAGGGGAUCGAAGACGAUCAGAUACCGUCGUAGUCUUAACCAUAAACUAUGCCGACUAGGGAUCGGAUGAUGUUAAUUUUUUAAUGACUCAUUCGGCGCCUU
rnacentral:rRNA from 1 species